ACCCGCAUUUGAAAGUGAUCAUGGUCUGUCUGUGUCCUGGUCAUUGAUAGUGCAGGGAGAGCAGUUGCUGAAAGUACUUCCCCGUGUCCCUUCCAAAUUCUGGAGCUUUCCCACA
ensembl:snoRNA SNORA71 Small nucleolar RNA SNORA71